GAUUCAUUUGACCGUGUACAGUUUUGUUUAUAAUUGGUGAAGAGAUGAAAAUAAUGAAACUGUAUGGUGCAAAAAGUGUUUUUUUCAUUGCAGUUUCUGCUGCUGGGAAAGCGGUAGAUCACUAUGGCUUCUGUACCGUGAAAUGAAGCUUAUGAUAAAUAAAAUACUGCUGCUUGCUGGUCACUGAUUGAAGAUCGUUCAGUGGCUACCAUUGGCCAAUCUCACCAAAGGGAUAUAAUAAGAACUGAUGCAGGUUUAUAGCUAUUCGGAACAAAGUUAGUACACUUUUUAAACCGAUGUUGGAUUUUUCUCCAGAUACAGGCAACCCACUUAACUUUGGAAGUAGUGCGCUGGAUUCGUCUAAAGAUAUGCUAAAUAAACUGAGGAAAAUAAAAUGAUAUGUAAAACAAUUAA